GAUACCCACUGGUACUGCUGAGUGAAUGCACUGUCAUAUAUAUAUAUAUAUAUAUAUUAUAUAUAUAUAUAUAUAUAUAUAUAUAUAUAUAUAUAUAUAUAUAUAUAUAUAUAUAUAUAUAUAUAUAUUUAACAAUAAAGCUACUUCCUAUCCCACAGACACUCCUCACAAUAACCGUAUCCCAUUCAGAGACACCACAGCUCUCUGUGAGGGAUAAAUAAGAUUUAGCUGGCAGAGCUAGAUAAUGAUCCACUCAGCAUGAGAGCUCAGUGCUCCUCAUCUCCAUCUCAUCUCCUGCCUCUCUCACUGUGCUGCUGUGACGUCAGUAUUGUACUUCACUAAUGAAGAGGACUUCAGUAAAGAUCUAUACUAGAACAUUCUCACAACAGGCAUAUUCUUGCUCUAGGGGGGGUUUUCAUAUCAAAGCACAGAUAAACGGAUAAAUCCAAGUGUGUGUGUGACUAACUGUGUGUGUGAGAUUCAAAGAGCUGAGCAGGCAGCCUAUGUCUUUGGUGUACUAUUGCUUUCAUUUAAGCCCGGGAGAGAGAAGCUAGCCUGCCCGGGAGAGAGAAGCUAGCCUGCCCGGGAGAGAGAAGCUAGCCUGCCCGGGAGAGAGAAGAUAGCCUGCCCCCCUGAGGCAUGUGACAACACAAUGGUUUAAUGAUCUGUGUCUGUUCUGCUGCUGCUAGUUUGUGAGACUGCUGCAGCACAGAGUGCUGAAUACAGGCAGUCAAGCUGGCCUGGCCAGUAGAAAUACACUGUAAGUCAGUGUUUCUCAGAGUGCUGAAUACAGGCAGGCAGCAGAUUCUCUGGCCUGGCCAGGAGAAAUACACUGUAAGUCAGUGUUUCUCAGAGUGCUGAAUACAGGCAGUUCAGCAAGCAGCAGAUUCUCUGGCCUGGCCAGGAGAAAUACACUGUAAGUCAGUGUUUCUCAGAGUGCUGAAUACAGGCAGGCAGCAAGCAGCAGAUUCUCUGGCCUGGCCAGUAGAAAUACACUGUAAGUCAGUGUUUCUCAGAGUGCUGAAUACAGGCAGGCAGCAGAUUCUCUGGCCUGGCCAGGAGAGAUACAUUAUGUCAGUGUUUCUCAGAGUGCUGAAUACAGGCAGGCAGCAGAUUCUCUGGCCUGGCCAGGAGAGAUACAUUAUGUCAGUGUUUCUCAGCCUGUUCCUCUGGGAGUGGGAGAUCCCUAGUUGUUCCACCACUAGUCAACUAGCCCAAUGCUCAAGCCCUUGACUAGUUGUGUGACGUGAGCUAGCUAGGUCAAAAAUGUGGAGCGGCAGGAUGUUUCCAAGGAACACAGAUGAAAUGGAGAAACCCACUGCUACAUAGACCUAACAGGAAUGUGGUGGUCGCCCCAGCAGUGCUGUCCCAUCCAGUCACGUAGACCUGAGUUGAGGAGAAACACCCUGAAAGUGAUCUGUAAGGCAAGCCUUCCUGGCCUGCUGGGGCCUCAGUCAGUGGAAUGGCAGAAGUGUGCUUUACUGCCUUCCUUGGAGAUGACCUGAGGUCAGGUCUAACUGUAGCGGAUGAACAGAGGGUCAGGUCUAACUGUAGCGGAUGAACAGAGGUCAGGUCCAACUGUAGCGGAUGAACAGAGGUCAGGUCCAACUGUAGCGGAUGAACAGAGGUCAGGUCCAACUGUAGCGGAUGAACAGAGAGUCAGGUCCAACUGUAGCGGAUGAACAGAGAGUCAGGUCCAACUGUAGCGGAUGAACAGAGGUCAGGUCUAACUGUAGCGGAUGAACAGAGGUCAGGUCUAACUGGAGCGGAUGAACAGAGGUCAGGUCCAACUGUAGCGGAUGAACAGAGGUCAGGUCCAACUGUAGCGGAUGAACAGAGGGUCAGGUCCAACUGUAGCGGAUGAACAGAGGUCAGGUCUAACUGUAGCGGAUGAACAGAGGUCAGGUCUAACUGUAGCGGAUGAACAGAGGUCAGGUCCAACUGGAGCGGAUGAACAGAGGUCAGGUCCAACUGUAGCGGAUGAACAGAGGGUCAGGUCUAACUGGAGCGGAUGAACAGACAUGGUUGGAUUUCCUGUUCAGACUACUGGUUGUUUCCUUGUCUUCUGCACCUGUUUUGGUCAAUAGUGAACAUACUCUCCCCCCCCCCACACACUCACACACACACACACUCCCCCACACACACACACUCCCCCACCACACACACAGCGUUAAUCCCUGGCUUCUGAUCUGCGUGUAGUCUUUCAUGUAAAGCCAGCCCUGUGAUGCCUGGUAACCCGAUACAGCCGCUAUUGAUGGUGAUGCUGUUGAUAUUCAGGAGAGGAGAGCAGCCUGCCAUGUUGCUCUCCCUGGUUGGUCCUGGGAUGCUGCUGUGUGGUCUGGGCUGAUAGGUGGAAGGCCCAUUAUCAAAAAUAUUGUUUGGCUUUGGAUGAUUUAAACAGUCUGGGCCUGGGCUAUAGGGCCUGGGCUAUAGGGCCUGGGCUAUAGGGCCUGGGCUAUAGGGCCUGGGCUGUAGGGCCUGGGCUAUAGGGCCUGGGCUGUAGGGCCUGGGCUAUAGGGCCUGGGCUAUAGGGCCUGGGCUAUAGGGCCUGGGCUGUAGGGCCUGGGCUGUAGGGCCUGGGCUGUAGGGCCUGGGCUGUAGGGCCUGGGCUGUAGGGCCUGGGCUAUAGGGCCUGGGCUGUAGGGCCUGGGCUGGGGACUA
rnacentral:lncRNA from 1 species